CAUGGGUGGACCUUUGGAACACAUCGGUCCAUGGUGUCCAGUCCAGGCAUCAAUCACUUGACCCGUGCUCACGCCACUAACCUGCCAUUGCAUCCUUCCGCAGAUGUUUGUUUACCAGUGCUGGUGUUCACGGUUUUAGCCGCGAGCCCGCGAGCGGGGCCAUCGCUCACAUAGUCACAUGGAAACGGCCGAGCGAAGCUCGUCUCAAACGCCAAAACCACCCGACCGUUCACCGUUACCUGGGCGGUGACCGCGGCGAACAAAGUGAGCCGAGCAGCGCGCCAGAGCGAAGCGAGCAGCACGACCCCCAGCUGCGGAGCUGCCAGUCCAAACCGGCAACCGCACCGCAGUCCAAGCCGCCGUCUCCCACCCGACCCGACCAAACUCCCACCGCGUCCCCUCCUCCUCGCAACCACCUUCGUUUUCCCGAACCAACCAACCCGCCGGCCACUGCGGCGGCUGCCCUGACUCGACGGACCGCGAUGCCGGGGCCGGGGGCGCACCUGCUGUACGCGCUGUCCGGCGGGGCGGCGCUCUCCCGGCUCGCCGGCGGUGGCCGCCGCUUCGGCCCGCACCACUGCGCCGUCUACGCCUUCAACGCCUUCCUCGGCCCGGACCUCGGCGCCUUCGCCGAGUGGCUCGCGUCCUUCCUCCCCUCCACCCCCGCCGCCGCCGCCGCGGGGGACCUCGCCAUGGCCGCCGUCCACCACCCCUUCUACUACCCGCUCCUCCUCGGCCUCCCGCUCGCAUGCCUCUACGCGUGGCUCUCCCGCCGGAUGCUCCGCGCCGGCCUCCUCGACGCGCCUGCCGGGGUAGUAUUAAGCAGAAGACAGUGCUUCUUGCUAAUCGCAGCCGGCUCGCUCUCCCACUUCUUCUUGGAUCACUUGUUUGAGGAAAAUGGCCAUUCUACAAUGUAUACUUGGAUACUGAGGACUGGUUGGUGGAAAGGCCGCGCUCCUAUCAAUCCAGAUGCAGUGUUUGUUGUUGGCCUUCUUUGCGUUUGCCUCAUUGGGGGAUUUGUGUACAUUAACAGAGUGAACCAUGGGAAGUCAGUGACUGAAAAGUCAAAUCAAUCUUUCUUUCUCAUCCUGGUGAUAGCCACCCUGUACUGUAUGUGGUGUGCCAGCCAGAUAUACCUGCGAAAUCCCCCUCAACCCGCCAUAGAUCUCUAGAGCCUUCUCUAGCCUUGACACAACUUGCUCCAUGGAUGGUCGCUGCUGCUUGUGGCCGGUGCAUGACAGAGCAAGCUUCAGGCAGAGAUCAAAUGCGUCUACCGAGUAUUCGCCCUUGAGCCUAGGAUCGGCAAAUUCCAACACAUUUCCCUCUCUGAUGAGCAUAGAAGCCUGAGAGCAAAAGGAGCUGCAGGAGCACCAUACCAAAGCUGUAUACAUCCCCUGCAGCAUUCACCCUGUGGUUGUGGCGGUACUCUGGGUCGACGUAGCCAAAAGUUCCUCUAACUUCAGAGCUCACGUGGGAUACGCCUAUGUCGAUGACUCUCGACAGUCCAAAGUCCGCGAGUUUGGGCUCCAUAUCAACCCCAAGAACCCUCAGGGAAUAUGUGAAGGAACCAAAGGCCGCAAGCACUGCCAAGUGCGAUCUGAAGCCUCUGAGUCCAUGACAGGCUCUUAUCCUUCCCUGUCAUCAAAUUGUUACUUUUAAUCAUAGAGAACAUUGCAUAAUACAUCCUGUAGUCUCCUCAAAUAUGUACUUACCAAAUAGCCAUUCUGAUAGGUUACCAUUGACGCAUAGCUCAUACACAAGAAAACACUCUUCCUGCCCAUCACAGUAACCUCUUAAUGACACAAGGUUUGGAUGCUUGACAUGUGAGAGGCUUGUAACUUCCCUUACGAAGGUUUCUGCAUGUUCAUUCUUAAUUAUGUGCUUCACGGCAACAGGCCAGCCAUUUGCAAGCAUUCCUUUGUACACUUUCCCUGCAAAUCACAUCAGGAAGGUGCAUCCAACUCUUAGAACAACAACAACCUACUGAAUGUGGUUAUUACCUUCUACUUCUCAUGUUAUAUGUAUAUCACAGUUCUGCUCCCUGUGGUCCUAUCUGGUUCAUGUACAAAUAAAUUUGUCCUGAAUCGGCUAGUAUUGUCAUAUGUACCUGCAAUUCCCUGCCCGAUGAUAUUUGAAAGGUGUAAGUUUUCAGUUGCAGCGUAUAUCUCUUUGACUGACAUCUGCUUGCAGGUAACCUCCUCAUACUCAACAGACGCUGUACCAACCUCUGCAAUAUAAAGAUGAACAAUUGCAUAGCUAGAUGACAACAAACCCGAUGAUCACCGCCGCGACGAGGCACCCAAGCAGUACUUCAUAUCCUGCAUACUCUCAGAAGGCAAUGAAUUUCAAGGCACGGGUAGAAAGGAAGGGGAAAAGGCAGGUAAGGUAGACAUACCUGUAUGCAUCUAGCUGUGGAACGUCUGGGAAGAACACAAGGUUGCCUUUUCUUUCACUGUGAAGGUUCCAACCGAACCAAAUUAAUAUCAUGGCCACUCGCUAACCAGUCGUUAUUAGCAAUGAUGAAUAGCCGUUGCCGGCCAAGGGCUAGAACGGAAGAAGCCAAAGCACGGAAAAAUAUUGGAUCAAGGAAUCGGGCCGGGUCCGUACCAGAAUACAGCAUCAACUGAGUUCUCAUGUUACGUCACUGGUUUACAUAAUCUAAUCGAUUUUGUCA